rnacentral:rRNA from 1 species
AGCGAACGCUGGCGGCAGGCUUAACACAUGCAAGUCGAGCGGGCAUCUUCGGAUGUCAGCGGCAGACGGGUGAGUAACCCGGGGGAACGUACCCUUCGGUUCGGACCAACUCUGGGAAACUGGAUCUAAUACCGGAUACGCCCUUAUGGGGAAAGGUUUACUGCCGAAGGAUCGGCCCGCGUGUGAUUUGCUAGUUGGUGGGGUAACGGCCUGCCAAGGCGACGAUCAGUAGCUGGUCUGACCGGAUGCUCAGCCACGCUGGGACUGAGACACGGACCAGACUCCUACGGGAGACAGCAGUGGGGAGUAUUGGGCAAUGGGCGCAAGCCUAAUCCAGCCGUGUCGCGUGAGUGAUGAAGGCCUUAGGGUUGUAAAGCCCUUUUGUCCGGGACGAUAAUGACGGUACCGGAAGAAUAAGCCCCGGCUAACUUCGUG